rnacentral:rRNA from 1 species
AACGAACGCUGGCGGCAGGCCUAACACAUGCAAGUCGAGCGCCCUCGCAAGGGGGAGCGGCGGACGGGUGAGUAACGCGUGGGAAUUUUCCUCAAGGUACGGAACAACUCAGGGAAACUUGGGCUAAUACCGUAUGAUGUCUAGCGACCAAAGAUUUAUCGCCUUGGGAUAAGCCCGCGUCAGAUUAGGUAGUUGGUGGGGUAACGGCCUACCAAGCCUGCGAUCUGUAGCUGGUCUGAGAGGACGAUCAGCCACAUUGGGACUGAGACACGGCCCAAACUCCUACGGGAGGCAGCAGUGGGGAAUCUUGCGCAAUGGGCGAAAGCCUGACGCAGCCAUGCCGCGUGAAUGAUGAAGGUCUUAGGAUUGUAAAGUUCUUUCGCCCGUGACGAUGAUGACGGUAACGGGAGAAGAAGCCCCGGCUAACUUCGCGCCAGCAGCCGCGGUAAUAC